rnacentral:miRNA from 1 species
GAAAUGCUUCCAUGAGAUCCAGCUAUAAGGCAUUUUCUCAAUUAGUAAUCAGUGGGGGAGGACCAGCCCGUGGUGGGUGGUGCCAUCUCUGGGAUGGUGGUCCUG